rnacentral:rRNA from 1 species
GGCUCAGGAUGAACGCUAGCGGCAGGCUUAACACAUGCAAGUCGAGGGGCAGCAUGAGGGUUAGCAAUAACUCUUGAUGGCGACCGGCGCAAGGGUGCGUAACGCGUGAGCAACUUGCCCGUUUCUGGGGAAUAACCGGUGGAAACGCCGACUAAUACCCCAUAGUAUUGAUUUCAGGCAUCUGUUAUCAAUUAAAGAAUUUCGGAAACGGAUAGGCUCGCGUGACAUUAGCUAGAUGGCGGGGUAACGGCCCACCAUGGCUACGAUGUCUAGGGGUUCUGAGAGGAAGGUCCCCCACACUGGAACUGAGACACGGUCCAGACUCCUACGGGAGGCAGCAGUGAGGAAUAUUGGUCAAUGGCCGGGAGGCUGAACCAGCCAAGUAGCGUGAAGGAUGAAGGUUCUAUGGAUUGUAAACUUCUUUUAUACGGGAAUAACAUCACCUACGUGUAGGUGCCUGCAUGUACCGUAUGAAUAAGCAUCGGCUAACUCCGUG